rnacentral:rRNA from 1 species
UACGUAGGGGGCAAGCGUUGUCCGGAUUUAUUGGGCGUAAAGAGCGUGUAGACGGCUUUACAGGUCCGUUGUGAAAACUCGAGGCUCAACCUCGAGACGCCGGUGGAAACCGUAAAGCUAGAGUCCGGAAGAGGAGAGUGGAAUUCCUGGUGUAGCGGUGAAAUGCGCAGAUAUCAGGAAGAGCACCCGUGGCGAAGGCGGCUCUCUGGGACGGUACUGACGCUGAGACGCGAAAGCGUGGGGAGCGAACAGG